rnacentral:rRNA from 1 species
AUGAUUUAUGGUUCAAAUCUAUAUGGCCUCUGGAUUGGACUGCGGCCGAUCAGGCUGUUGGUGAGGUAAUGGCCCACCAAACCUGAAACCGGUACGGGCCCUGAGAGGAGAAGCCCGGAGAUGGGCACUGAGACAAGGGCCCAGGCCCUAUGGGGCGCAGCAGGCGCGAAACCUUUGCAAUAGGCGAAAGCCUGACAAGGUUACUCUGAGUGAUCUCCGCUAAGGAAAUCUUUUGACACCUCUAAAAAUGGUGUAGAAUGAGGGGUGGGCAAGCCUGGUGUCAGCCGCUGCGGUAAUACCAGCACCCCGAGUGGUCGGGACGAUUAUUGGGCCUAAAGCAUCCGUAGCCGGUUCUUUAAGUCCUCCGUUAAAUCCACCUGCUUAACAGAUGGGCUGCGGAGGAUACUAUAGAGCUAGGAGGCGGGAGAGGCAAGCGGUACUCAGUGGGUAGGGGUAAAAUCCGUUGAUCCAUUGAAGACCACCAGUGGCGAAGGCGGCUUGCCAGA